UGGCACAGAGUCGCUCCGUUUCUCUGCCUUUAACUCCAUCAGAAUGUAACAGAUCCCAGCGUCAAUGAAAUGCCAAUUAGCCGGUAAAUUUACGAGCGUAUGCCAUGGUCUGUCCCGAUGACACUAUGCUCCCAAGUAUCAUGCGUGAAAGGCACAGAUGCAGUUUUGGGGACUUAAUCAUGCCUGAAAUGAUGUCGCAUUUUAUUUACAUCACUGCAUCAAGAGGAGUCAUUCACUGACACUUGAUGAUGGAGCCCGAAUACGUGCUACGCCGACCCACUGUGCGAGAGAGGACCAUCAAAGUCAUCCACUUAAGUGCACGCUUCUGCGUCAUUGCGUUGUGCAUUGGUUUACUAUGCACUAUUUUGCAAAAUUCCGAACGGAGAUAUGAAGAGCACGAUGAUGCCCAGGUGUACACUGCAACAGAAACAGUUGAUAAAACAAGACUUGAAAUCACCGUCUGCCCAUUCCCAGCAAUUGAACCAUCGAAGAUAUUGAAUUUUGGUCGCUAUUACAAGAUCGCUACCAAUGUCGAUUUUAACACAUUUGAUAUGGAAAAUUCACUUU